GACUUUUAUUCUUUUAACUUCACUGGUUUGCCUUAGUUUCCCCGCCUGUAAAAUGAGAAUGAUAACAGUACUUCCUUUGCAGGGUUAUGGUCACUGUAAAGCUUAGAUUCUGUUAGGAGACUUUUAUUCUUUUAACUUCACUGGUUCGCCUUAGUUUCCCCGCCUGCAAAAUGAGAAUAAUAACAGUACUUUCUUUGCAGGGUAAUGGUCACUGUAAAGCUUAGAUUCUGUUAGGAGACUUUUAUUCUUUAAAUUGGACUCUACUAGUCUUGCUGGGUAACCUGGGAUGAGCUCUUCUCCAAGUCUUAAUUCCCCAUCUCUUCAAAGAAGGGAACAAAAGCACUCGCCCACCUCCGAGCAAGACCCAGGAAAAGGGCUCGUGAGUCCUUUGAGCCCUUGGGAAGCCCGGCGCUAUAGGAGCGGUCCCGCCCACCCAGCGCCUAGGGUUUGACUGACGGGCUGCGCAUCCUAUCAUUGCGGAGCAAAGCCUCCGUGCUUUUCUCCUCACCGCCGCCCUGCUGCCCACCUGCAGCGGCUACAAAGGCGCGCCCGAUGUCCGCGUGCCUCGGAGCACGUGCGUCCGUUCCCCGUCUCUCAUACGGGACGGGAGUGGGGGAGGGGAGCGAUGCCAGGGGUAGAGCGGGAUAUCGGAGAAAGCCGUGUCCCCACAGGGCCCCAGGGCGCUGAGCGGUGGGGAUGGUUAGGCCGGGCUCCGUCUCCAGCCAGGGAUCAGACUCCUCUCCGUACUCCGCGAGAGAGGGAGCUCCCCAGCCCUGACGCUCCCCGAGGUCUUUGGCGCGUUUGCCCGGAGGGUGGGGAAUGGGUGACAAGCCUCGCCUCCCACAGAGAAGGAAACACGCCAUCACCUCCCAGGAUUCUGCCUGGUCUUCCUUCAAACUUUCAGCAGUAGUCACCUGCAAUUUGAGAAUAUAUGCUUGCCUGGGUGAGCCUGACACUGAGCUCAAAUGCCUGCCUAUUUCUUCUGUGCUAUCUCUGAGUCCAAGCCACCACAACAUGAUGGGUGGGUCCUGAUUAUUACUGAGGAAGAGGAAGAUGUAUCUGGGUCAGAAUGUACCUUGCUGAAUUGAAAACAAAAGAGGAGUCUGGAAACUGCCUUUUCUCAACAUCUCUAGUGAGUGCUCAGCUCUCAACACUGUUAGCUGUCUGAGGAAUGCUGCUUGGCAGUGGAUGCCAAAGGAAAGCUUCGAGUCUUCUGCCUCUAAAGUUCCUCCGCUCAGGAUGGGAAGGGGAGAGGGUGUUGAGAAGGACACUGAAAGCAAGACCAAGAUUUUACUGCUCCUCUCUCCUCCCUAAGCAAUUCCUUCUAUGGUCUGGCUCAAAGGCUUUCUCUCUCUUUUGUUAUCGCGAAGUCCAUUCUGUGAUUCCAAGUGAGCUCCAUGGUUUUACACCACGCCACCGGGCAUGACCAAGUCCAACCACCAAUCCAGACGUUGUCACACCUGUUGUGACUUUUGAAGCCUGAGGCGGCACUAUGGUUCCUUUCAUGGCAGAGGUGAUGGUUUAGAGGUGCCUACCGAGCCAUGUUUAACAACACAGAAUUGGUUUUAGGCCCAGAGGGCUUGGGGCGCUCACCCUCUUCUCUUGAAAGAUCCCUUCCUCUGAAUUCAAGUAUGUAGCCUAGAUUCAGUUCUGGGAAAGCUUAUUUCUUCAAAAGACAAAUUAAGCUUUUUCUUAACACUUGGGUUCUUUACACUCCCACCACAGAGCCCUAAAGAAUAGAUGUUAAAAUUUAGGUUUAUACACACUCUCUCCAAAAAGAGAGUAGAAUGGUUCUCAAUGUACAAUAUACAGAUCAGAUAUAGGACAGCUAUUUGUUUCUUGCACAUAAAAGAAAUUAUUAAACACAAAAGAGUCACAAAUGAACCUUGGCAAAAUCAUAAGCAAGAAAUAGUGACUUAGGACUACUUUUAUAUUCUCCCAGAAAGUUCCCACAUAAAACAUUAAAAUGAAAUCAACUUAAAGUCAUUUUGUACCCUAAAAUGCAGGCCCAAGUCAUUUGUGCCUUUUCUUAAUGUAGCUAGGAUUUGGUCAUGUCUUGUGGAACCUGUAUAAGAACAGACAGAGAAUAUUAUUCCUACCAUGAACAACCUAACAUAAAGAGUGAAUCUAAGUAUUUUCUGAAUAUAGAGCUCUCAUUGGCUAGUCUUUCCAUUAAAAAAUUUUAAAAAUCUGUAUGUUGUAUGGAAUUUUGAUGUUUUCUUUUUCAUUCAAGUGGACAGAGUGCUAAGUUUGAAAUCAGAGUUCUUGAGUUCAAAUCUGACACCUACUAGUUGUAUGACUUGGGGCAAGUCACUUCAUCCUGUUUGUUUCAACUCCUCAUAUGUAAAAUGGACCAAAGAAAAAAAUGGCAAACCAUUCCAGAAUCUAUGCCAAAAAAAUUCCAAAUGGAAUCACAGAGUUGGACACAACUGGAACAAUUCAACAAUUGAAUAACACAAGUCUAUCAUUGCCAAUUUUACAAUUUUAAAAGUGUACUCUGAGACUUAUAUGCUAAUUGCUUUAUGUGUAUAUUUUCCUUUUGGUUUUUAUUUCAGAAUGGCAGUUUCUUCGUGUAUUCAGAUGCAGUGUUUUGCUUCAUGUUUUUAUAUUUAGCACCACCAUCAUAGUCUUUAGGUUUUACCUUCAACUAUUGGUUCAAAAUAAACUUCAGAUUCAAGUUUGAAUUCUUCAAUUUAUCUUUCCUUAAUGUUAAGAAUUUUACUUUUGUUGAUUUUAUGUGGCUUUUUUUGACAUUAUUGUAUAAAAAUUCUAUUAGAUGAAAGAAAUAUUUAAUUUUUUGUGGAAUCAUAAAUUUGAUGUCAUCCGUGUAAUUUAUAGAAUUAUGCUAGAACAAUCUCCUCUAGACUCAUAGAAAUUGGCAAAAAAAAAAAAAUUGGGAUUUGUUUUGUUUAUUGUCUAGACUUAAGGGAAAUGUUAAUAAUGCAGAUUAAACUUAGAAGUGGAGGCAGUUGGAUGGUGAAGUAGGUAGAGUGCAGGGCCUGGUGUCAGGAAGGUCUAAAUUCAAAUGCGAACCUCUGUGCAUAGUGACACUAUGCAAGUCACUUAACCUGUGUUUGCCUUAAUCCAAUAGGAAAGGAAGUGGCAAACCACUCCAAUAUCUUGCCAAGAAAACCCUUCAUGGGGUCAUGAGGAGUGGGAUACAACUGAACAACAACAAUAAACUCAAAACUCUGUGUGUUUUGUGUGUGUGUGUGUGUGUGUGGUUUUUUUUUUUUUUUUUUUUUUUUUUUAGAUCUGGUUGAUACUCUUUUACCAGCAUAUUCUUACAUGUAUAUCAAGUAAACAAUAUAAUGUUUUGUUUUAGUCUUUUAUUUGAAAGUCAAAGCUAGUCCUAGUUAAGAGACAUGAUAAUGAACUUAAAGCAAGGCAAGACCAUAAUAGGGUUAAAUUGCCACCUGAAAAUAUCAUAUUUAACAUCAGUUAUUCUUUAUAUUACAUUAGUGGGAAAUUUUAAAUAAAUAUUUUCCAUGGGGAUAUUAACUUUCUCAUUAUACUUGGCUCUAUUUUAUUUGCAGUAUAUAAACAAGUCAUGAGAAUGGACUGAGUCAAAGGCUUUUCAGUGAACAUUAAGAUGCUUUGAGGUUAUUUGUUCAAUAAUAAUAAUGUGUCAUCUGAUUAUCAGCAGCAGCAGCAGCAGGAUCAUUAUUUUGGUGUUUCCUAAUUUGAACAAUGAAUAUGACCUCAUUUAUUUAGUUCUUUAUUUGUUAGAGAAAAACUUUAAUAAUUAUGUUAUGAAAAACCAUGUUUUGAAAAUAAUUUUGUGCUCAUAUUAGUCCUCUGUGUGUAUUGGUAAGUUAACGUUAUCAUGUUCAGACAUUUUACUUGUUUUUUUAAUGGUAUUUUUCUAUUUGUUCUUGAUUUUUCUUCAUAUGAUAUACUGAAAUGCUAAUGAUUUUUGUGGAUUUAUUUUUAGAGGUCAUAAUGGUUCACUCUGCCAUCUUGCUGAAGGUGGCAAACAAUUACUUAAAUAAAAUAUCUAACACUUGU
ensembl:lncRNA